rnacentral:tRNA from 1 species
GCCGAGAUGGCGGAAGCGGCAGACGCGGCGGUCUCAAAAACCGCUGCCCGCAAGGGCAUGGGGGUUCGAAUCCCCCUCUCGGCACCA